rnacentral:rRNA from 1 species
UCUAGAGGCUUCGGCAAUGGGGGAAACCCUGACCGAGCGACGCCGCGUGUGGGAUUGAAGGCCUUCGGGUCGUAAACCACUGUCAGGAGGGAAGAAUGCCCCUAUGGUGAAUAGGGGAGAGACGGUACCUCCAGAGGAAGCCCCGGCUAACUCCGUGCCAGCAGCCGCGGUAAUACGGAGGGGGCAAGCGUUGUUCGGAUUUACUGGGCGUAAAGGGUCCGUAGGCGGUUGUGUAAGUCUGGUGUGAAAUCUUCGCCGCUUAACGGGAAGCAGCCACUGGAAACUGCAUAACUUGAGUAUGGUAGAGGCAAGCGGAAUUCCUGGUGUAGCGGUGGAAUGUGUAGAUAUCAGGAAGAACAUCUGUGGCGAAGGCGGCUUGCUGGGCCAUUACUGACGCUGAGGGACGAAAGCGUGGGGAGCAAACGG